rnacentral:lncRNA from 1 species
AAUGCUGCUGUCUCCAUAAAUAAAGUCCAUGUUAGCCACCUAGAGGAUAAAAUACCACGAGGAGGAGUGGCAAGUUGCCCCUCUUGACAGAUCCUGACACAGAAGCUCACUCUCAGAAGCACAGCUGCCUAGUCAACAAACAGCUGACAAUACAUGUCUGAAGGAGCUCAGCUGGGAACAGAAGAAUGGCCCCACUGAGCCUAGCCUAAGUGGCUGACCAUCUCAAUUAUGAGCUAAUAAGUUUUGGAUGAUUUGUUAUCCUGCCAUACCUAACUAAUACAUGCACUCAGUGCAGAUUGGGUGCCAAGAUUUAAAGACAGUUUGAUUACUAGUCACCUUCUAACAGUGGGCACCCUAAAGGUACUGACUUUUUUCCGGAUUUAAAGUUAAAUGUCUUGUAAGGCAAUGUUGACUAAUGCAGGGAUACUUGUAGACAUGUAUGCAUGUGAUUGGUGCUAUACACACAGUCCCCGCACCACAGGAAAAACCAAGAACGAAGCUGACAUUAUGGCCAGGCAAUAGCAAGUUGCUUUAUCUAUUUUCUUCAUAAUAAAAUUGAUCAAUAUGUGACCUUGAAGACCAGAUUUUUUCCUUUACCUAUUUCAUGCU